ensembl:lncRNA
GUUUCUCUGUACAUCUGUAUGUCUCUGUCACCUGGAGGCCUCCUGAAGACAAUAUUUCUCAAAUGAGUUCAUGCUGCUGCUGCUUUCAAGUGGUCUUCCUCACCAGACCAGACAGAAGGAAUGUUACUGUGCCUUUCAGAAUGCAGUGCAGCUCAGGUGCCCCAGAGUUCAGAAAACUUGAGAAAAUUUCAUGAGGUCUUCCCUGUGAGAAUUGACUGCGGAGUGAAAGAAUUGGUUGUUCUUAAAAAUAAAGAAGUCGCAUGUCUGCAGAGGAAAAUAGUAUUUGAUCCCUCAACACAGAGGACUUUUUUGGCCAGUUAUGGCUGGGAUAAGAAAUUACUCAGAGAAAGAUCUGUAUGUCAGUCAGUUUUGUUUCUAUGUAUCGAGCUUUAAGCUGUUACUGUAAUUAUUUUCUGGUAUUCUUUUGCAAUAUGGACCUAAUAACAGCAUUUCCACAUCUAUUAAAAAAAAAGUCUCUAAAUGCAUUCUGAUUUGUUCUCCUUAUACGUGUAUGCAGGGGAAAGUCAGGUAGACGGUAGCUCUCUAGGCUAGAAUUUUUCUAGGUCAUCAGAUUGAAAAAUGUUUUCUGUGAAAAUGCUUUAGGAAAUCUUCACUGAAGAUAACUUCAAGUUCUUGCAUUAUAUAUCACAUAGAGAAAAAUUCUUCUGUCCUAAACAUCUGUAAUAACAGAUUAUUAAAAAAUACAGCGUGAACCUUCUUGGUAACAUUAAUUAAAUGACCUGAUAAAGCAUUUGAUAUAAUCUAUUCUAACUACUUUUCCUUAAGUACUGAUGUUACUGUCUAAAAUUAAGAAUAAAAUGAAUCUCUGAAUAUAUUCCAUGCCAUUUUAUUUUCUUGUAUUAAUCACACAUUAACCAAAACAUAUUUGCUUGUUUAUUUUUUGUCUAAUAAACCUCUCCAAGAACAAUUAAAAUGCCUUAAGUACACAUUAGAAUCUUUAGAAAAAUGCGUCUUUACACUGAUAAGCAGGCAGUUUUUGAAGGACGGUGGUUUUUAUUUGUAGAUAUUGUUUGGCUUAAGCAGAUCAGUAACUGCAGUAAGACAACAAACAAUUUAGAGAGGAAUCUUUUAAGAUUCUCUGUGAUGUAAGGAAUCGUAUUGGAUGGAGACUUUGUUCUAUUUGUAGCCCUUUUCAUGAGAAAUCAUGUCAUUCCUCAUGGCGAUACAUGGUGGCAAACAUGGCUUUAUGUCACAGAAGCCCAAGAUUAACAAGAGAGCUUGACCUAGCUUUUUUGCUCUGCUGUGCUCCUCAUUUUUUUCUUCCCUGAAAUCUAUGUGCUAAAUGGGUUGAAGUAGAUUUGGUCUGUACUUCUCAGAGUGGAUUCAAUGUGACAUGUUAUGGGAAGCUCUGGCAGAAAUAUGUGGUAUGUAGGUCACAACAGCUAUGUUGAUUAGCAUAUUGGUGAUUUAUAACCACAAUAUCUAUUAUAAUGUGACAGAAAACAUAAAAUUCUGUGUAUUUGUUGGGAGAAGGAAUUUUUCUAGCAUGAGACCAAGCUGAGUAACCAUGCUGUACUAGCAAUAUAUUUAUUUUUCUUGAAACUGUGACCUCCUCAUGAAAUGUUUUUAGCCCUUGGCUUAGCCUGAGGGCAAAUCCAAGGAAAGUAGCCUAAAGCUCACGAUGAAUGUUUACUGACUUAUGUGGUCAGUGUUUCUCAGGAGUAAAUUGUAAAGAGAAUAUGGGCUGCACUUUAGUUUUCCAGCUUCAGGCUGUGAAAAGGAGUUAGAGAAAAAGUAUGUCAUUUAAAAUGAGCCCCAAAUUAUGUUUACAAAAUGUCUCACCUUUUCACAAUUGUACAUAAUGAAAUUGCUAAAUAUUACAUUCCCUCCUAAGAAGUCAAGUACAGCCACCUCAUGUGGUUUAAAUAAAAGUAGUACAUUCAUUUAGCAAGUAAGACAGAUAAAGCAACAUGAAAUACUAGGGGCUGAAAAAUGAACUUAGGAGUUUGGGAUGAACCUCGAGAUUUGGCACAAGGGAAACUUGCAGAAAUCUCUUUUCUUGAUUAUCAGCAGUAUGUGCAUUGCCGUUUUCUUACUGUCUUUAUUCACUUUUCAACUGCCUACCACAUGUAGUAUGCCAAAGCUCAUAUAAAGAGCCUGUCUAUGCAAAUGUGUGCAAAAAUACAUCUACACAAUUCAAUUAAGAAGACUACACAAGCUUAAUAAAAGCUGCUUUC